AAGGAACUUUAGAAGUUUUCCAGUGUGUUCUCCUCAGACCCACAGCCUCCCGAGCCUCAGCCAUCACCAUGUAAAUGCUAAUGAAUGACAAGCACCACGGAGGACUUUCAUCUUACCAUCUGAAGAGGAAGUUGGCUCUGGACAUGAACAAGGAUGGUUUCUGCCUUGCUUUGACACAACUAAUGGAGGCCAUUGAAAUAAUCUUUCCCACUAGGAAGACUGUCACAAGGAUCAUCUUGAAUGGGAAGAGGAGAGAGGUGACCUUUGCUAUGGAUGCAUGCACUGCAAGUGUGAGGCCCCACGGUUGCCACCGGGAAUAGCUAUCUACCCAGGACCUGAUGAAGCGCUGUCCAGACAGCUCUGUAAUCCUAUACCAGCACACCAAUAUGUGUGCUAAACUGAUCAAUAAUAAGAUUGAUACAUCUUCUACUUGGGGAAAGAAAGAAUGAAGGUCCACAACCAACACCAAGCUCUGAGAAGUUGACUUGGAUGAUGUUCUACCCAGCUCUCAUCUAAAGGAGCAGAGUCCCCAAGCCAGAGGAAGCUGUCAGAGAGCUUCUCAGCUGUGAAGAUUCUAUGAGGUCCCAGAGGUUAAUGACGCCAGUUACAGAAGCUUGACAGAGCAAAAGGGGAAGGAUGUGUCACUUGGCUGUGUGGCUGGCUGAUCUUAGGGAAUGAGAAAGCAAAUGUGAUGGAGGUGACCAAGGGGUGACAAUGCUUCGCCACCAUGAUGAAGAGCAUACAGGGGACUGGGGGUCACAGGGAAGUGAGGAUAGGG
rnacentral:lncRNA from 1 species